UCAGUUUCCACCCCUGACCGUCCGAAAUGUAAAAGGAGGAGGCGUACCCGCAGUCCCGGCCACGAAGCCACCCUGGGGACCAGGAAGCAGGAAGUGACCCGCCACUUCGAUGGGAUUCCGGGAUCCCCCCAGCCACCAGGGGGCCGGGGCCGAGUGUCUCGACCCAAAUCCCUUCUCCCACCCUCGCAGAGUCUGACACAAAGUGAAAAGGCGGAAUCGAACCCCAGAGCUCAGUUCUAGCCGGCCUGGAGGAUCCCUAGACACCGAAACUGGACUAGGAGGCCGCCUCAGGAUGGAGCCAACGUACCUAUGGGGCCAGGCCCGACCUCUACUUUGGAGACUAAGGAACCCACGAGAGACCCAGCCCGGAGGCGAGUCUAGGAGGGACACAGGGAGAAGGCGCCCCAGAGCACUCACCACCUCCGCCGCGGUCCCCCGCCUCUUCCUGUCCCGGCUGGGCUCCCUCUCCGAGUUUUCCUUCGGUCCCACUUCCGGCGCUCAGCGCUGUCUCAUUGUGCGCGAUUGGGAGCCGGCUGUGCCCCCGCCCCGGCGCUCCGCCGCGCACGCCGGAAACGCGCGCAGCGCCUGGAGGGCCGCCCUCCGCCCCGCCCGCCGUCGCCCAGCUGCCGGGCCGCCCACCGUCGCCACGGCGCUCUGCCCCCGGGUAUGGGUUGUCAAGGCCAGCCCGGUUACGCCCCUCGGCGCCCGCGGGUUGUUCGCCCUCUACCCCGGCGCGCGGGCAGGGCCUUCUCCGUCUCUCUUCAUUGCCUCAUUGAUGAUAUCUAAUGGUGAGUCCAUCUCCUGUGCUUUGUUCCUGAUGACAGGGACCCACCUUUCACUUUAAUCACAGGUGAUUUUCAGUAUGGGUGGUCGACUACUUUGCCCCAAUUGUGGCUGUCUCCUGGCUACUUUGCCAUAUGUUUUUCCUUGGCACCACAAAGAACCCAGGAAUGCCUGGAUUCCUUCCAAGGACACAUGAAUCUCAAGUGUGCUUUAAAUUUGCCAGU
rnacentral:lncRNA from 1 species